UUCAGAUGCCAAUACCUCAUGUGAGAGAUCCAAUGCUCAAUCUAGUGGCAGCUCUGAUUCUGAAGGUGAAGAUGAUGCCACUUCCUCAAAUUAAGUGGUAAUGGUUCCCCUUGAAAUGAAGACUGUAUGUGCUGUGAUGAAGACUGGGUUGGUGUGGCUGUUGUGUGUGCUGUUAUGAAAGUUGGUCCCCCUGCUGUUUUGGCUACUUUGGAUGCUGAAGAAUUUGUUUUUUUUUCU
rnacentral:lncRNA from 1 species